CAGACUUCUGCUGACUGAAACAUACAACUCUGGUGCUUGAAGGAAGGUGUUUGAUUAGUUAACGAUCUUAAUGUAAGUGGUCUCAAGUUUCCGAGUUUCUGUGAGUUUCCAGUGUUUCAAGUGAAUGUCAAACUGCUGGGCUAACAGAAAACAUCUCCUUGGGUGUGAUUUUCUGGAAGUUGAAGUGGCUUCGGUUUCAGCUUGGUGUAGAGGUGAAGAUAGCGAACAGAAGGAGAGCAAGUGACAGCUGCAGACUGCCUACGGAGGAAGAGCCGCAGAUAAGAAAGUAUCUGGAAGACUCAACAAGUUAUCUGCCUUGACCUUUGGAGAGCCUUAAAGGGAAGUGUUGUCACUCGGAGGAGAUGUGGAGGUCAUACUAGGCACCGAGCCAGCCUACAACUUUUUUUAGAGUGUGUCAAAGCCAGGGCAAAGUGAAGACAGACUAGACUUAAUCCUUUAACCUAACCUGUCAAAACCGCAUCAAGUCAGCACUGCCAAAUCUGCAGCCACCUCAUAACUCAAAAAGGUAUGCAUGAGUGCAUUUAUGAAUUUGCUUUUGAGAAGCGGUGUUAUGCUUUGGUAUUCACAGCAUUAUGAAACCUGGCCACAUCACCGGGUAUGCAAACAUAAAGCUAAGUGCUGCCUACUGCAUGAGUGAUUCAUCUCACUGAGUAGUAAGAAGAUCUGAAAUGUGAUUAUUGCAAGAGGUGAUUGUUUUUAAUAGAUACUCACUUCUAACCAUGAAAAAUACAGACUUUGAAGAAAUUAGGUUUGUAUUGUUAUAACAAAACCAGGAAGCAAUAAGCUAUUUGUCAAAUCCACAGUAAUGGAUAAAGCACACAUCACAUUAAAAUGAUAUUUUAUUUUCACUGACUGUGAAGAAAACACUGUUCCUGCAUAAUGAUAAUAGUUUGUUUACAAUAAACAUAUUUUCAGGUUUUACAUACAUGCGUGCAUACUGAUUUGUGUGUAUGUAGGUAUGUGUGUGUGCAUUUUGCUGAUAGUAUAAAAGGAAGCAUUCAUGUGAAAAAAUAACACAAAUGCAUUCAAAAUACAGGGCCAUCUCCUAACCACUGCAAACUAGCUUGGCUGACGAUGGCAUCCAGCCACAUUCAGACAUGACAGUUGUCACCGUUCCUUAUAGGGCUGUGAACUUUAAAGAGUGAAUAUG